rnacentral:rRNA from 1 species
GAUGAACGCUGACCGAAUGCUUAACACAUGCAAGUCAACUUGAAUUUGGGUUUUUAACUUAGGUUUGGGUGGCGGACGGGUGAGUAACGCGUAAAGAACUUGCCUCACAGCUAGGGACAACAUUUGGAAACGAAUGCUAAUACCUAAUAUUAUGAUAAUAGGGCAUCCUAUAAUUAUGAAAGCUAUAAGCGCUGUGAGAGAGCUUUGCGUCCCAUUAGCUAGUGGGAGAGGUAACGUCUCACCAAGGCGAUGAUGGGUAGCCGGCCUGAGAGGGUGAUCGGCCACAAGGGGACUGAGACACGGCCCUUACUCCUACGGGAGGCAGCAGUGGGGAAUAUUGGACAAUGGACCGAGAGUCUGAUCCAGCAAUUCUGUGUGCACGAUGAAGUUUUUCGGAAUGUAAAGUGCUUUCAGUUGGGAAGAAACAAAUGACGGUACCAACAGAAGAAGUGACGGCUAAAUACGUG